GAUGAACGCUGGCGGCGUGCCUAAUACAUGCCAGUCGAGCGAACAGACGAGGAGCUUGCUCCUCUGACGUUAGCGGCGGACGGGUGAGUAACACGUGGAUAACCUACCUAUAAGACUGGGAUAACUUCGGGAAACCGGAGCUAAUACCGGAUAAUAUAUUGAACCGCAUGGUUCAAUAGUGAAAGACGGUUUUGCUGUCACUUAUAGAUGGAUCCGCGCCGCAUUAGCUAGUUGGUAAGGUAACGGCUUACCAAGGCAACGAUGCGUAGCCGACCUGAGAGGGUGAUCGGCCACACUGGAACUGAGACACGGUCCAGACUCCUACGGGAGGCAGCAGUAGGGAAUCUUCCGCAUUGGGCGAAAGCCUGACGGAGCAACGCCGCGUGAGCGAUGAAGGUCUUCGGAUCGUAAAACUCUGUUAUUAGGGAAGAACAAAUGUGUAAGUAACUAUGCACGUCUUGACGGUACCUAAUCAGAAAGCCACGGCUAACUACGUG
rnacentral:rRNA from 1 species